AACCCCCCCCCCGGCAACCCUGAGGGAGAAGCGGCUUAGAAAAUGGAUGGAUGGAUGAAUAAUUAGACAUAUCAUUCUGAUAGGUGAUCAAAUGAAAAGCUCUCGGUGAGGGGACUCAGACUUUUGGACCCCGCUCAAUGUAGCAUUUAUUUUCUUCUAGUUAUCAAAUUAUGUCUCCACAUCAGUGGCUGGAUCUACUGAGUGAAUCUGAUGUCUGAUGGAGUCUGCUAAUAGGUGAUUGGUCUAUCCAGAGAGCCUGAUUUGCAUAGACCGACUGCAGUACAGUAAGGCAGGUAUGUUCUCCCUGCGCUCUGCUGGUGUCUGAUGUAAACAGUGUGUUGCUGUGGGCUCCCGCAGGUUUCAGAUGCAGAUGCUUUCUCUGGCACACAGGUCUGUGAGGAGGAGAGCCGGAAGUUUCACGGCUUAAUUGAUGCCUUUCCACGUAACCAUGACAACUCGAGGAGACAGGCCGUCACUAUGGAGAUCGGAACUGAUGUCAGAGUCUCUGUCACACAUGGCUUUAGUGAGGAGGGGGGCGUUUACUGACGGAUGGACGGUCAGAAGAGGGGAUGAGUGAAAGUAUUUUGCAUGCUUUGGAGCGGGCCCUUCACUUCUGCUGGCUACUCUCGCCAGUUCUUCAGCCAGCCAAGGUGAGCUGUGUCAACAAUCCACAAAAUAAAUGUUCUAUAACAGCUAAAAUGGACU
ensembl:lncRNA